rfam:Lactobacillus harbinensis DSM 16991 NODE_45, whole genome shotgun sequence.
CGAAGAAAUAGAGGUUGCGAAAUCUAUGAGGGCCCUGGAGCAUGCGGAUGCGCUGAAGGGACCGGAGGAGAGUUCGCCGAAAUGGGCAGUGCGCCGUGGCACUGCCUGUUGGGGCCGUUGGGGAAUACCUGCGGAACUGUCUUGAUUAGCGAGUAAAACAUCGCCGGUCAAGGAGCGCUAUUCUGGUU